rnacentral:rRNA from 3 species
AGACCCGAAACCCGGUGAUCUAGCCAUGGGCAGGUUGAAGGUUGGGUAACACUAACUGGAGGACCGAACCGACUAAUGUUGAAAAAUUAGCGGAUGACCUGUGGCUGGGGGUGAAAGGCCAAUCAAACCGGGAGAUAGCUGGUUCUCCCCGAAAGCUAUUUAGGUAGCGCCUCGUGAAUUCAUCUCCGGGGGUAGAGCACUGUUUCGGCUAGGGGGCCAUCCCGGCUUACCAACCCGAUGCAAACUGCGAAUACCGGAGAAUGUUAUCACGGGAGACACACGGCGGGUGCUAACGUCCGUCGUGAAGAGGGAAACAACCCAGACCGCCAGCUAAGGUCCCAAAGUCAUGGUUAAGUGGGAAACGAUGUGGGAAGGCCCAGACAGCCAGGAUGUUGGCUUAGAAGCAGCCAUCAUUUAAAGAAAGCGUAAUAGCUCACUGGUCGAGUCGGCCUGCGCGGAAGAUGUAACGGGGCUAAACCAUGCACCGAAGCUGCGGCAGCGAACGUAUCACCCAAGACAACUUUACGGAGUUGACGAUUGACGGAGCGAAGCGACGUCAAAGCGUUCAUUAAAGUCGAGUUGGCUUAGGGAUACGUUCGUUGGGUAGGGGAGCGUUCUGUAAGCCUGUGAAGGUGUGUCGUGAGGCAUGCUGGAGGUAUCAGAAGUGCGAAUGCUGACAUAAGUAACGAUAAAGCGGGUGAAAAGCCCGCUCGCCGGAAGACCAAGGGUUCCUGUCCAACGUUAAUCGGGGCAGGGUGAGUCGACCCCUAAGGCGAGGCCGAAAGGCGUAGUCGAUGGGAAACGGGUUAAUAUUCCCGUACUUGGUGUUACUGCGAAGGGGGGACGGAGAAGGCUAUGUUGGCCGGGCGACGGUUGUCCCGGUUUAAGCGUGUAGGUGUGUGUUCCAGGUAAAUCCGGUUCACUUUAACACUGAGGCGUGACGACGAGGCACUACGGUGCUGAAGCAACAAAUGCCCUGCUUCCAGGAAAAGCCUCUAAGCAUCAGGUAACAUCAAAUCGUACCCCAAACCGACACAGGUGGUCAGGUAGAGAAUACCAAGGCGCUUGAGAGAACUCGGGUGAAGGAACUAGGCAAAAUGGUGCCGUAACUUCGGGAGAAGGCACGCUGACACGUAGGUGAAGUGAUUUACUCAUGGAGCUGAAGUCAGUCGAAGAUACCAGCUGGCUGCAACUGUUUAUUAAAAACACAGCACUGUGCAAACACGAAAGUGGACGUAUACGGUGUGACGCCUGCCCGGUGCCGGAAGGUUAAUUGAUGGGGUCAGCGCAAGCGAAGCUCCUGAUCGAAGCCCCGGUAAACGGCGGCCGUAACUAUAACGGUCCUAAGGUAGCGAAAUUCCUUGUCGGGUAAGUUCCGACCUGCACGAAUGGCGUAAUGAUGGCCAGGCUGUCUCCACCCGAGACUCAGUGAAAUUGAACUCGCUGUGAAGAUGCAGUGUACCCGCGGCAAGACGGAAAGACCCCGUGAACCUUUACUAUAGCUUGACACUGAACAUUGAGCCUUGAUGUGUAGGAUAGGUGGGAGGCUUUGAAGUGUGGACGCCAGUCUGCAUGGAGCCGACCUUGAAAUACCACCCUUUAAUGUUUGAUGUUCUAACGUGGACCCGUAAUCCGGGUUGCGGACAGUGUCUGGUGGGUAGUUUGACUGGGGCGGUCUCCUCCUAAAGAGUAACGGAGGAGCACGAAGGUUGGCUAAUCCUGGUCGGACAUCAGGAGGUUAGUGCAAUGGCAUAAGCCAGCUUGACUGCGAGCGUGACGGCGCGAGCAGGUGCGAAAGCAGGUCAUAGUGAUCCGGUGGUUCUGAAUGGAAGGGCCAUCGCUCAACGGAUAAAAGGUACUCCGGGGAUAACAGGCUGAUACCGCCCAAGAGUUCAUAUCGACGGCGGUGUUUGGCACCUCGAUGUCGGCUCAUCACAUCCUGGGGCUGAAGUAGGUCCCAAGGGUAUGGCUGUUCGCCAUUUAAAGUGGUACGCGAGCUGGGUUUAGAACGUCGUGAGACAGUUCGGUCCCUAUCUGCCGUGGGCGCUGGAGAACUGAGGGGGGCUGCUCCUAGUACGAGAGGACCGGAGUGGACGCAUCACUGGUGUUCGGGUUGUCAUGCCAAUGGCACUGCCCGGUAGCUAAAUGCGGAAGAGAUAAGUGCUGAAAGCAUCUAAGCACGAAACUUGCCCCGAGAUGAGUUCUCCCUGAGACUUAGAGUCUCCUGAAGGAACGUUGAA